CCUGGUUGAUCCUGCCAGUAGUCAUAUGCUUGUCUCAAAGAUUAAGCCAUGCAUGUCUCAGUGCAAGCCAAAUUAAGGUGAGACCGCGAAUGGCUCAUUAAAUCAGUUAUGGUUCCUUAGAUCGUACCACAAGAUCUGGAUAACUGUGGUAAUUCUAGAGCUAAUACAUGCAAACAGAGUCCCGACCAGAAAUGGAAGAGAUGCUUUUAUUAGAUCAAAACCAAUCGGCCGGCUUGUCCGGUCCGUUUGCUUUGGUGACUCUGGAUAACUUUAAGCUGAUCGCACGGUCUCCGCACCGGCGACGCAUCUUUCAAAUGUCUGCCUUAUAAACUGUCGAUGGUAGGUUCUGUGCCUACCAUGGUUGUAACGGGUAACGGGGAAUCAGGGUUCGAUUCUGGAGAGGGAGCCUGAGAAAUGGCUACCACAUCCAAGGAAGGCAGCAGGCGCGUAAAAUUACCCACUCCUGGCACGGGGAGGUAGUGACAAAAAAUAACGAUACGGGACUCAUCCGAGGCCCCGUAAUCGGAAUGAGAACACUUUAAACCAUUUAACGAGUAUCCAUUGGAGGGCAAGUCUGGUGCCAGCAGCCGCGGUAAUUCCAGCUCCAAUAGUGUAUAUUAAAUUUGUUGCGGUUAAAAAGCUCGUAGUUGGACUUGUGUCCCACGCUGUCGGUUCACCGUUCGUCGGUGUUUAACUGGCAUGCCCGUGCGGACGUCCUAUCGGUGGAUGCGGUCGGCCGCUGGCCUCUGGUCUGCUUGUCGGCGGUCCGAUACAAUCCUACCGCGAUGCUCUUCACCGAGUGUCGAGGUGGGUGUGCACAUUUACUUUGAACAAAUUAGAGUGCUCAAAGCAGGCAGUUGUUCGACUGAAUAUUGUGUGCAUGGAAUAAUGGAAUAGGACCUCGGUUCUGUUUUGUUGGUUUAUGGAACUUGAGGUAAUGAUUAAUAGGGACAGACGGGGGCAUUCGUAUUGCGACGUUAGAGGUGAAAUUCUUGGCUCGUCGCAAGACGAACCUAAGCGAAAGCAUUUGCCAUGAGUCUAUUCAUUAUUCAAGAACGAAAGUUUUUUGCAUCCGUCCCCCAAAAUUGCCCUACAGAGCUGGGAUCUAAAAUAUACACUAUUCUAACACAUUUCUAUCCGCCCGUAACGAUUUUCAGUUCAACUCGAAAAAAAUUUUCAACAACCUGUAUUCACUAUCCAAAAUUAAAUUAUAUUUUUUUUCGAAUUCUGGGCGUCAAGUUACGUGACCGUACCAAAUUUCGUACGUGUAUCUAUAUUACUUUAGGAAUUAUGAAUUUUUAAAAAAUUUGUAAGGGGAUCAAAAUGAAUUUGCCUAUAACUUUGUUAUUGUCCGUGUCAUGUGACUGAGAUUUUGGCAGGGGGUUUUCACGCGCGCUCUUUUCACUUUCCUUCAUACAUUCUUCAUUUUUUAUAAACCCGACAUUCCCGAUUCCAUUAUUGUACUACGUAAAUGGGAAUUACGCAAUGUGCAUAUUCUCAUACGUUUUCGUUUACUUUUUUCCCUCAUUCUACAAGUCAAGUUACGUGACUUCACCUAAUUUCGUUCGUGUAUCUAAAUUACUUCAGCUGUUAUGAAUUUUUAAACUAUUUUUAAGAGGGUCAAAAUGUCAAUGCCAAUAACUUUUAACUAUUCCUUUGCGAAGUUAUGGU
rnacentral:rRNA from 1 species